AUUGAACGCUAGCGGCAGGCUUAAUACAUGCAAGUCGAGGGGCAGCACGGUUAGCAAUAACUGGUGGCGACCGGCGCACGGGUGCGUAACACGUAUACAAUCUACCUUAAACAGGGGGAUAGCCUUUCGAAAGAGAGAUUAAUACCCCGUAAUAAAUUGAACGGCAUCGUUUGAUUUUGAAAGCUCCGGCGGUUUGAGAUGAGUAUGCGUCUGAUUAGCUAGUUGGUGAGGUAACGGCUCACCAAGGCGACGAUCAGUAGGGGAUCUGAGAGGACUAACCCCCACACUGGUACUGAGACACGGACCAGACUCCUACGGGAGGCAGCAGUAAGGAAUAUUGGUCAAUGGAGGCAACUCUGAACCAGCCAUGCCGCGUGCAGGAUGACGGCCCUAUGGGUUGUAAACUGCUUUUAUACAAGAGAAAACCCUGGUACGUGUACCAGGUUGAUAGUAUUGUAAGAAUAAGCAUCGGCUAACUUCGUGCCAG
rnacentral:rRNA from 1 species